rnacentral:lncRNA from 1 species
UUUUUUCUUUUUUUUUCUUUUUUUUUUAGUAAACAAAAGUAAGAGAAACAGUGAUGUAUAAUUCAAGCAUGCUUGGUGAUCUCAAACCAAUCACAAGGAGUCCCACCCAAAGGCAAAGGGAACCAAGAUGCUCAUGAUCGUUGAGGCUAUGAAAAUUUAAUAUUAUGAUGCCAUGAGGGAUCUUAGGGUCAAAAUUAGGGUCUUACAGAUGCCCCUAUGUAGCACCUCAAAUUUGC